rnacentral:rRNA from 1 species
GAUGAACGCUGGCGGCGUGCUUAACACAUGCAAGUCGAACGAUGAAGCCCAGCUUGCUGGGUGGUUUAGUGGCGAACGGGUGAGUAACACGUGAGUACCCCGCCCUUGACUCUUGGAUAAGCGCUGGAAACGGCGACUAAAACCUGAUACCAGCUUCCACCGCAUGGUGAGUUCCUGGAAAGAAUUUCGGUAACGGAUGGACUCGCGGCCUAUCGGGUAGUUCGUGAGGUAGCGGCACACCAAGUCGACGACGGGUAGCCGGCCCGAGAGGGUGAACAGCGACCCUGGGACUGAGAGACGGAGCAGACGCGUACGGGAGGCAGCGGUGGCAAAUCUUGUCCAGUGGGAGCAAGCCUGAUACAGCAGCGCCGCGUGUGGGAAGAAGGCCUUCGGGGCGUAAACCUCUUUUGGCAGGGAAGCAGCGGAAGUGACGGUACCUGCAGAAAAAGCACCGGCUAACUACGUG